CGGCGAGCGCGCGGCCGACAACUGCGGGUGACUAGCAUGCAGAUAUUCGCACCCUGACUUGGUUUGGCUGCCUGACUACUGACAUGGCCCACCGGGGUGGGGAGAGGGACUUCCAGACUUCAGCUCGUCGGAUGGGUACCUCCCUGCUUUUCCAGCUUUCAGUGCAUGAGCGGGAACUGGACCUUGUUUUUCUGGAUCAUAGCUAUGCAAAACCGUGGAGUGCCCACCCCGAUGCCAGCAGCGCCCGCCCCACCCGCAUGCUCUUUGUAACUCCCCGUCGGCAGCAGGAGAAUACUAUGUGAGUUUGAGAAUACCAUUGAGUCAGACGUUCCAAUAGAUGUGGAGACUGUCACGGCAACUCCUGCUCCACUCUAUGACAAUCAGAAGGCAAGAAGUGUG
rnacentral:lncRNA from 1 species